GUAUAUCAGCAGCACAUAUCCUGAAAUUGGAACGAUGCAGAGAAGAUUAGUAUGGCCCUUGCGCAAAGAUGACAUGCAAAUUCCUGAAGAAUUCCAUAUUUUU